UGCGUAGGUGGCCGGGUAAGUCUGACGUGAAAUCUCCAAGCUCAACUUGGAAACUGCGUCGGAUACUAUCCGGCUAGAGGAUCGGAGGGGAGACUGGAAUACUUGGUGUAGCAGUGAAAUGCGUAGAUAUCAAGUGGAACACCAGUGGCGAAGGCGAGUCUCUGGACGAUUCCUGACACUGAGGACGAAAGCCAGGGGAGCGAAACG
rnacentral:rRNA from 1 species